rnacentral:rRNA from 1 species
GCCUAAUACAUGCAAGUCGAGCGAAUGGAUUAAGAGCUUGCUCUUAUGAAGUUAGCGGCGGACGGGUGAGUAACACGUGGGUAACCUGCCCAUAAGACUGGGAUAACUCCGGGAAACCGGGGCUAAUACCGGAUAACAUUUUGAACCGCAUGGUUCGAAAUUGAAAGGCGGCUUCGGCUGUCACUUAUGGAUGGACCCGCGUCGCAUUAGCUAGUUGGUGAGGUAACGGCUCACCAAGGCAACGAUGCGUAGCCGACCUGAGAGGGUGAUCGGCCACACUGGGACUGAGACACGGCCCAGACUCCUACGGGAGGCAGCAGUAGGGAAUCUUCCGCAAUGGACGAAAGUCUGACGGAGCAACGCCGCGUGAGUGAUGAAGGCUUUCGGGUCGUAAAACUCUGUUGUUAGGGAAGAACAAGUGCUAGUUGAAUAAGCUGGCAC